CGCCUCUUGCCCCCCCCCAGAAUAAGAGGUCUCGCCUGCCCUGUGACCAUGAGUUUAACGGCCGCGGUAUUUUGACCGUGCAAAGGUAGCGCAAUCACUUGUCUUUUAAAUGAAGACCUGUAUGAAUGGCAUAACGAGGGCUUAACUGUCUCCCUUUUCCAGUCAAUGAAAUUGAUCUCCCCGUGCAGAAGCGGGGAUUAAAACAUAAGACGAGAAGACCCUAUGGAGCUUUAGACAAAGAGCAGACCAUGUUAAACACACCUAAAUAAAGGACAAAACCAAUUGGCCCCUGCCCUUAUGUCUUUGGUUGGGGCGACCGCGGGGAAACAAAAAACCCCCAUGUGGACUGAAGACAUUCCUCUUCACAACCAAGAGCCACAGCUCUAAGCAACAGAACAUCUGACCAACAAGAUCCGGCACUAAGCCGAUCAACGGACCGAGUUACCCUAGGGAUAACAGCGCAAUCUCCUUUUAGAGCCCCCAUCGACAAGGAGGUUUACGACCUCGAUGUUGGAUCAGGACAUCCUAAUGGUGCAGCCGCUAUUAAGGGUUCGUUUGUUCAACGAUUAAAGUCCU
rnacentral:rRNA from 1 species